rnacentral:rRNA from 1 species
UACGGGGGGUGCGAGCGUUGUCCGGAAUCACUGGGCGUAAAGGGCGCGUAGGCGGCCACCGCAAGUCGGUUGUGAAAUCUCCGGGCUUAACCCGGAAAGGUCAACCGAUACUGCGGGGCUAGAGUGCAGAAGGGGCAACUGGAAUUCUCGGUGUAGCGGUGAAAUGCGUAGAUAUCGAGAGGAACACCUGCGGCGAAGGCGGGUUGCUGGGCUGACACUGACGCUGAGGCGCGAAAGCUAGGGGAGCGAACGGG